rnacentral:tRNA from 1 species
GCCCGGAUGGUGGAAUUGGUAGACACGAAGGACUUAAAAUCCUUUGACCAUUGCGGUCGUGUGGGUUCAAGUCCCACUCCGGGUACCA